rnacentral:tRNA from 1 species
GCCCCGGUAGCUCAGCUGGAUAGAGCGUCCCCCUCCUAAGGGGAAGGCCGCAAGUUCGAAUCUUGCUCGGGGCACCA